GACCCAAAAUCCCAUUAUCUGACGCAAAAUCCCAUUACGUUGACGAGAAACCCAACAAGUAGACCCAAAAUCCCAGUAUCGUGACCCAAAAUCCAAUAUCUCGACCCCAAACCCAACACGUUGACAAAAAUAUCCACUAAUGUGACCCAAACUCCAAUACCUUGCCCCAAAAAUCCAUUACGUUGACCAGAAACCCAACAAGUAGACCCAAAAUCCCAAUAUCUUGACCCAAAAUCCCAAUAUCUUGACCCAAAAUCCCAUUACGUUGACCAGAAACCCAACAAAUCCCAUUAACUUGACCCAAACCCUAUUAAAAUAGACCCAAAAUCCCAAUAUCUUGACCCAAAAUCCCAUUGCGUUGACCAGAAACCCAACAAGUAGAACCCAAAAUCCCAAUAUCUUGACUCAAAAUCCCGUUUUGAUACAUGAAAUCCAAUAAAGUGAACUCAAAAUCCAA